rnacentral:snoRNA from 1 species
UUUCUAUGAUGAGAAACCUUCUAUUCAGUUCUGCUUCUGCAAAAUCAUUGAAGAAAAACCCUUUAACCAAAAAUAACGAUCCUGAUCC